AGCUUCAGUAGCGUAUAUUAAAGUUGUUGCAGUUAAAAAGCUCGUAGUCGCAUUUCUGGCGAGAGGAUCCGGUCCGACCUUUUGGUGGGUUCUUGGGUCUCUUUCGCCAUCCUUGAGUGGUCCGUUCUGGCAUUAGGUUGUCGGAGCGUCAGCCGCUCAUCGUUUACUGUGAGAAAAUUAGAGUGUUCAAAGCAGGCUUAUGCCGUUGAAUAUAUUAGCAUGGAAUAAUAAGAUAGGACCUCGGUACUAUUUUGUUGUUUUGCGCACCAAGGUAAUGAUGAACAGGGACAGUUGGGGGUAUUUGUAUUUCGUUGUCAGAGGUGAAAUUCUUAGAUUUACGAAAGACAAACUACUGCGAAAGCAUUUUCCAAGGAUGUUUUCA
rnacentral:rRNA from 1 species